GAGAAAUUUCAGCAACAAACAACACACAAACAACAAAACCAUAAAUCAAAACAAGGCGACCAAAUCCAAUUCCUCCUCAUCGGCACCGUCAGAACCAGAAUUCCUCCGCGAUUCCGCUUCACCCUCCCCCCUGGGGAGACAAACCCAUCCGAUUGUCCCCAUCCCUGAGCGUCCCCUGUCCCCUCUGGCAGGACAUGUUUGGGUUUUUCGGCAGCCUGGACACCAAAGGCACCAGCUACAAGUACGAGGUGGCGCUGGCGGGGCCGGCGCUGGAGCUGCACAACUGCAUGGCCAAGCUGCUGGCGCAUCCCCUGCAGCGCCCCUGCCAGAGCCACGCGGCCUACGCGCUGCUGGACGGCGGGGACAGCCCCGACAGCGAGGCCACCGUCUGAGGGACAGCGUGGUGGCACCUUGGGGACAGCCUGGUGGUGCCCUGGGGACAGGGGGUGGCACCUCGGGGACAGCCUGGUGGCGCCCUGGGGUGGUUGGUGGAGUGUUGUGUACGGGGAAAAUGAAGAGGUUUCAUCAUUUGUGGUGUUUUGGGUCAUUUUGGGU
rnacentral:lncRNA from 1 species